rnacentral:rRNA from 1 species
UACGUAGGGUGCGAGCGUUGUCCGGAAUUACUGGGCGUAAAGAGCUCGUAGGUGGCUUGUCGCGUUGUUCGUGAAAACUCACAGCUCAACUGUGGGCGUGCGGGCGAUACGGGCAGACUGGAGUACUGCAGGGGAGACUGGAAUUCCUGGUGUAGCGGUGGAAUGCGCAGAUAUCAGGAGGAACACCGGUGGCGAAGGCGGGUCUCUGGGCAGUAACUGACGCUGAGGAGCGAAAGCGUGGGGAGCAAACAGG